AACGAACGCUGGCGGCAUGCCUAACACAUGCAAGUCGAACGAGACCUUCGGGUCUAUUGGCGCACGGGUGCGUAACGCGUGGGAACCUGCCCUUAGGUUCGGAAUAACUCCCCGAAAGGGGUUCUAAUACCGGAUAAUGGCUUCGGACCAAAGAGUUAUCGCCUUUGGAUGGGCCCGCGUUGUAUUAGCUAGUUGGUAGGGUAAAAGCCUACCAAGGCGACGAUCCAUAGCUGGUCUGAGAGGAUGCUCAGCCACACUGGGACUGAGACACGGCACAGACUCCUACGGGAGGCAGCAGAGGGGAAUAUUGGACAGUGGGAGAAAGCCUGAUCCACCAAUGCCGCGAGAGUGAUGAAGGCCUUAGGGUUGUAAAGCUCUUUUACCCGGGAUGAUAAUGACAGUACCGGGAGAAUAAGCUCCGGCUAACUCCGU
rnacentral:rRNA from 1 species